rnacentral:rRNA from 1 species
UACGAAGGGGGCUAGCGUUGCUCGGAAUUACUGGGCGUAAAGGGUGCGUAGGCGGGUCUUUAAGUCAGGGGUGAAAUCCUGGAGCUCAACUCCAGAACUGCCUUUGAUACUGAGGAUCUUGAGUACGGGAGAGGUGAGUGGAACUGCGAGUGUAGAGGUGAAAUUCGUAGAUAUUCGCAAGAACACCAGUGGCGAAGGCGGCUCACUGGCCCGUUACUGACGCUGAGGCACGAAAGCGUGGGGAGCAAACAGGG